GAUGAACGCUAGCGGCAGGCCUAACACAUGCAAGUCGAGGGGUAACGAUUAAGUAGCUUGCUACUUAAGGCGACGACCGGCGCACGGGUGAGUAACGCGUAUGCAACCUACCCUUAACUGGGGGAUAGCCCGAAGAAAUUCGGAUUAACACCCCAUAAUAUUUAGAUGAAGCAUUUCAUUUAUCUUAAAACUCCGGUGGUUAAGGAUGGGCAUGCGUGACAUUAGCUAGUUGGUGAGGUAAGAGCUCACCAAGGCGACGAUGUCUAGGGGGCCUGAGAGGGUAGUCCCCCACACUGGUACUGAGACACGGACCAGACUCCUACGGGAGGCAGCAGUGAGGAAUAUUGGUCAAUGGACGCAAGUCUGAACCAGCCAUGCCGCGUGCAGGAAGACGGCUCUAUGAGUUGUAAACUGCUUUUAUACGGGAAUAACCGUCGGUACGUGUACCGGCCUGAAUGUACCGUACGAAUAAGCACCGGCUAACUCCG
rnacentral:rRNA from 1 species